CGCCUCCUCCUCCUCCUCCUCCUUCCUCCCGGUCAGCUGAUCCGAGGUGGACGGCGUUCCGCGUGUCGGCCAAUUUUCUUGUAAUCCAGGACGACACAGACGGCCAUGGAUGGAAGCAAGAUGCUGGACUUUGUGGACCCUGGCGGCCAUGGGGAGGUGUCCGUGGGCGCUGGGCAAGGCCGAGGGCGAGGAGUACAGCACACUGGAUGAGGGGGACCAUGGAUGGUGCAGGGCUCUCAGGAGAUGGACAAGCAGGAACAGGGGACCAGAACUCACAAUGGUGUUCUUCAUUGAGUGUGUG